AUUUAGGUAGUUUAAUUCAAAAUAUCGGAUUGUGGAGCCGGAGAUGUAAAUUUUAUUCUAAAUU
rnacentral:tRNA from 1 species